rnacentral:rRNA from 1 species
UAAAGUGAAGAGUUUGAUCAUGGCUCAGAUUGAACGUUGGCGGCAGGUCUCAUACAUGCAAGUCGAACGAGAAAGGUCCUUCGGGGCCGAGUAAAGUGGCGGACGGGUGAGUAACGCGUAGGAAUCUACCUAGUAGUGGGGGACAACCCGAGGAAACUCGGACUAAUACCGCAUACGACCUAGGGGUGAAAGCGGGGGAUUUUCGAACCUCGCGCUAUUAGAGGAGCCUGCGUUGGAUUAGCUUGUUGGUGGGGUAACGGCCUACCAAGGCGACGAUCCAUAGCUGGUCUGAGAGGACGAUCAGCCACACUGGAACUGAGACACGGUCCAGACUCCUACGGGAGGCAGCAGUAAAGAAUAUUGCGCAAUGGGCGAAAGCCUGACACAGCCAUGCCGCGUGUGUGAAGAAGGCCUUAGGGUUGUAAAGCACUUUCAGUAGGGAGGAAUUAGCUCGGUUAAUACCCGGGUGAAAUGACGUUACCUACAGAAGAAGCACCGGCUAACUCCGUGCCAGCAGCCGCGGUAAUACGGAGGGUGCAAGCGUUAAUCGGAAUUACUGGGCGUAAAGCGCGCGUAGGUGGUUCGUUAAGUUGGAUGUGAAAGCCCCGGGCUCAACCUGGGAACUGCAUCCAAAACUGGCGAGCUAGAGUACGGUAGAGGGUAGUGGAAUUUCCUGUGUAGCGGUGAAAUGCGUAGAUAUAGGAAGGAACACCAGUGGCGAAGGCGACUACCUGGAC